rnacentral:misc_RNA from 1 species
UCUCCGUUGGUGAACCAGCGGAGGGAUCAUUACUGAGUGAGGGUUUAACCGCCCGACCUCCAACCCUUUGUGAACACAACAUGUUGCUUCGGGGGCGACCCUGCCGUCCGCGGCUGAGCGCCCCCGGGGUCAAUCAAACACUGCAUUCUCUGCGUCGGAGUAUUAGUAAAUCUAAUCAAAACUUUCAACAACGGAUCUCUUGGUUCUGGCAUCGAUGAAGAACGCAGC